rnacentral:hammerhead_ribozyme from 1 species
AUCCAGCUGACGAGUCCCAAAUAGGACGAAACAUGAGUCCUGGAU